UAACGACUCUCGGCAACGGAUAUCUCGGCUCUCGCAUCGAUGAAGAACGUAGCGAACUGCGAUACUUGGUGUGAAUUGCAGAAUCCCGUGAACCAUCGAGUCUUUGAACGCAAGUUGCGCCCGAAGCCAUUUGGCCGAGGGCACGUUUGCCUGGGUGUCA
rnacentral:rRNA from 14 species